rnacentral:rRNA from 1 species
UAGUCCACGCCCUAAACGAUGCACACUAGUUGUUGCCUUGCUAGACAAGGCAGUAAUGCAGUUAACACAGUAAGUGUGCCGCCUGGGGAGUACGGUCGCAAGAUUAAAACUCAAAGGAAUAGACGGGGACCCGCACAAGCGGUGGAGCAUGUGGUUUAAUUCGACGAUACGCGAAGAACCUUACCUGGCCUUGACAUAGAGAGAACUUACUAGAGAUAGUUUGGUGCUAGUUUACUAGAGCUUUCAUACAGGUGCUGCACGGCUGUCGUCAGCUCGUGUCGUGAGAUGUUGGGUUAAGUCCCGCAACGAGCGCAACCCUCGUGUUUAGUUACUAACAGUUCGGCUGAGGACUCUAGACAGACUGCCUGGGCAACCAGGAGGAAGGUGAGGACGACGUCAAGUCAUCAUGGCCCUUACGGGCCAGGGGCUACACACGUGCUACAAUGGGUAGGUACAGAGAGCAGCCACUGCGUGAGCAGGGAGCGAAUCUAU